UUUUUUUUUUAAGUCUGUUUUUGGAACCAGUAUCUUCCAAGUUCUCUCUUGUCUUCGAUUGUUUCAUAAGAAAACAACACGUAAAAUUUUCACUCUGUUUUCCUCUGAUAGUACCACCUAUAGCUGAAGAUUAGCCCUGCUAAUGAUGUCAAAGGUCAAGGUAUAGGAUGCUCAUUACCACAGGCCACCCCAGGCUGCCAUUUUAUAGCUCCAUCUACUGUCUCCUGCCCCCACCAGCCCUGGAGCCCCACACCACUAACAUGUUCUCCAUUUCUAUAGUCUGGUCGCUUCUAAAAUUUUAUGUAAAUAGAAUCGUCUGGAUGUCCCCUUUGGGAGAUUAGUUUUUUUUAUUAAAUUUGUUUUUAUGGAUAUAUAAAAACAGAAAUUAUACAUAUUAAUGGGGUACCAUGUGAUGCAAUUGGAUGGAAAUUCAGCCGAGUUCUUGUAUAGCAGUCUGGGCAGUGCUUUAUAAAUAUCUUAAAGAGAAGGGUGACAUAGUCAUAGCACCCUGACUUCUUGUACCUUCUAAACUGUGAUACUGUGGUUUAAAAAGUAGCGUCACCAAGAAAGAAAGGUAGGUCUCAAAAGAAGCCAAGGUUUGCCUUCAACACUUCUCUACAGAUUGCCCUUCUAUGUUUGGAGAAAGGCAUGUUGCUGAGACUGAAACAUUAACUUUACGUACGUGUGACUCAGAGCAGAAUCUCAAGUUUGGUUGGUAGGGAAUGGUAUGCCACCUGGCACAGGAGAGAUUUCCUGUGCUCUCUCUGUGAAAGGCCACUGUCUUUCAUUAUCACAUGAACAUGAAACUUUCUGGUUUGCACGGUUGGUUCUCACGUCAAGUUUGUGUAGUAGACCCAACAGUUGAGGCAGAGAAGCCACCAAGAGCUUUUCUUGAAUUCAUCUGCCCACAUCACCUCAGCACCAAAUGCUUCCUGUGUGCUGGGCACCAUCUGAGGCUCAGAGAUGCUGAGCUAGAGUCAGUGCUUCCUACAGGAAGCGCUGAAGCAUCUGCUAUAUGAUGUCAUGCUGAACUCCAUGGAUACUGCACGCAAUAUACAAAUGAGUUAAUCCUCUCUCAGGACAUCAGCCCUGAGACUCUUUUCCAUGAGAACACCCAUAGCAGUACAAGAUUUAUAUAAUACGUAUAUGUAUGUAUAAGCAGAACCUGAAAGUACAAAAACUCAAAGCCUUGCUAUGCACAGAGUCUUAGCUCUUAGUUUUUCUUGUUUAUUUAAGCCCAGUACCUGAUGGUUAAGCACAAUCAGUGUGGUUGGUUAAGUCUUUGAUGGAUGCAUUGAUGGAAAGGACUUUUCAGCUUACCUUAGAGGGACAAGAAAUACCUAGGCUCAACAAGACAGAGGAGUGAAUAUUCUUCAUGAAGCAACUGCCAUAAAUAAGUGUAGUCAUGGCCGGAAAAUCCAGGAGACCUCAGUAGUUCAGUUUGUCUUGGCAGCAGAGGCAGGGGACAAAUGAUAGCAUAGAAGGGUGAACAAGCUGGAGCCUGUGUGUGCUGGGAUGUAUACCUUUGGGGAUUUUUGUCUUGCUUCUUCAGUGGCAAUGCAAAGCUUUUCACUACAUCUAUUUUAGUAUCAAUUUGAUCAUCUGAGAAUGUGGUGCUCAAAAGGGAGGACUCCUGGUUCAAUCCCAGGACAGUCGGCUUCACAUUCUCAUGAUCCUAAGACUUACUUGAUCCAGGAUACUGUGGUGGUUUGAAUAUGCUUGGCCCAUGGGAAGUGGCACUACCUUGUUAGAGUAGGUGUGGCCUUGUUGGGAGAAGUGUGUCACUGUGUAGGCGGACUUUGAGGGCUUCUAGUGCUCAAGCCCCAACCAGUGUGGAAGAGACAGUCUCCUCCUGCUUGACUUCAGAUCAGGAUGUAGAACUCUCAGCCCCCUUUCCAGCACCAUGUCUGCCUGGACACUGCCAUACUUCCCACCAUGAUGAUAAUGAACUGAACCUCUAAAAGUGUAAGCCAGCCCCCUUUCAUUGUUGUCCUUUAUAAAAGUUGCCUUGGUCAUGGUGUCUCUUCACAGCAAUGGAAACCCUAAGACAGAUACCCUGAUCCAGGAACACCAGCCCUAAUUUGUCAGGAGACUGAAGCAAAGAAAAGCAUAGGCCCAGUAAAGAAGCCCCAGAUUUCAUCUGGCCUAGAACGAGGGCAGCCAUCUGCUGUAAGACCAAUCUUGAUCUCUGCUUUCCUGAAGCCAUGAGACGGCAAGUUCUGUCAUCUGACUGGGUGACCAUCUUUCCUUUCAUUCCCUAACCGUCUUUCAUCUGGUGCCCUUACCCAAUGAGGGAAGCUGUAGCUGCCCUCCUGCCCACAGGGAAGGCUGUAAUGAUAUGUGGUGAAUUGUAGAUGUUGUCUGGUUAUGGUUUUUUGUUUUGUUGGUUGGCUGGUUAGGUUUUUUUUUGUUGUUGUUGUUGUUGAUUUUGGUUUGGGGGGGUAUUUGUUUUGUUUUUGUUUUAUUCAAGACAGUGUCUCAUUAUGUAGCUCUGGCUGUCACUGUGUAGACUAGGAACUCAAUAUGUAGAGUAAAGUGGCCUCAGACUCAGAGAUCCAACUGCUUCUGCCUCCAGAGUGCUGGGACUAAAGAGAUGAACCACCAUGCUUGGCCUCUUUGGCCAUACUCAUAAUUCCUCGCAAUAUGUUUAUCACUAUAGGGAGGAAAUCAACCAUGUCAAGCUAUGUCUCUGCUUCCCUCCAUGACUUUUCAAUGUGUGCUUUAAUUUCUCAUAUAGACAGUACCAAAUGGACCCUUUCAAGAACCUUGCCUUCAGAAGGAAAAUUAAAUUUAACACAGACUUUUGUUGGUUUGUUUAUGAGUAGCUUCUAUGGGCCUAGCACUGUUCUGCAUUGAGUUCAUUCACAGGAUAUUUGUUGAGCAGCAAUUGUGUGUGUGUUGGGCAGGCACAAUACAGACCCACAUGGAGUUUGCACUGUCAAACUUAGAAUGUUUUGGAAUGAGGAAGUGAGAUUCUUCGUUAUAAAAAGAGUCAAACACUCAUAACGGGAAUAGAAGCCAAAAAGAAUGUCAGCGUGGACUGAGUUGACUAGUGGCAGCUAAUCUUUAUCAGACCCUUGCCAUAUCCUGAACUCAGUGUCUGUUAAUCUAAGCUUCACAAUGCCACAUUUUACAGGCAUGGAAGUUUUACCUCAAAACCAAAAUGUAGAUAAGAAAUUUGAACCCAGGUAUCUGGAUAGAGAAUUUUCAGUUUUAACUACCACCCUACCUUAAAUGACCUAAACUGAAUAAGUGUUAAGCCACAUAAUAUUAUUGCUAAAACCCUCUCUGGAAGGGAGGAAACUCUUAAAGAUAAUGCAGGCUUUUCUCAGGAUUAGACUAUAACAGUCUGUCCCAUCUGUGCGUCAGGCAGACGGGAGCUUAUUCUCAUGGGAGACGGGGAGGGAGAGGGGCAUCUCAGGGUGAGGGCUAUGAGAAAGAAUGAGCCCCAGGAUGGGCCAGGAUGGCCAAAACAAGAGUGAGUCAACAAAAAUCCAGUGUUCAAACUGAGUCUUGGGAGAAGGUGUGUUAGAAGCAGGGUUAAGAACUAUGUUCUCUGGUCUCAGCAUCCUGAUCCUUCAGGCCUGAUCUGAGGGGCUACAUUCAGGAUGAAUGGCCAAGAGUAAGUUAGGGGGUAGCCUUGGCAGCUCCACCAUGGGUUGUGUCAGCCUCAUCUUAGAGUUAGUCCCCAGGUCACAGAAGCAAGUCUUAAUCUCUCAGAAGAGAGCAUGGAUCUCUGAAAGUUUCCCACCUAAGUCCUGAGGCCCUGAUGACCUUUGGCAGUUCCCAGUUCCCUGUUCCAUCCCAAGUUCUCUUUUGCUGUACUGGGACUCCUAUGAAGGGCUAUCUCCUUAGGGGACUGAGCAUCAAAUACAUCGUGAGGUGUUCAUUGAACUCUCCCAUUAUUCUUUGAUGGGAUUGUAUUCUGCUCUUUUCUUUCCAUAUCACAUUCCCUUUUACACUUUCCCGUCUCCACGGCUGGUCACCACACCGCUCACUUUGUACAUAUGAUUAAUAUAUUACAUCUGUCCUCUUCUCGGCCAUUAAUGAAGAUGUUAAAUAAUUCUAAGCCAAAUACUCACCCCCGUGGGGCCCCACAGGACACUUUCGUUUAAUUAGUUGUAUUACCUUUCAUCUCUCUCAUGUCCUUUGACUUCAGAUGUCCUGCUGAUUUUGAAGCCAUGUGACUUUUCAUCCUGUCCUGUUUGAACUAAUUUCAUGAGUGAAAAUCUGAGAGAUGUUUUACCAAGUGUUGACUUGGGUCCAGACCUACAGAGAGCUUCACUAUGUUCUGAUUUUUUUUCCCCUAACAGAUUAAUAGAGUAUAGUUUGUUCUUAAUAAACUGAGCCUUCUUAAUGGACCUCUUUCCAAUAGUCUUUUCUCUAAAAAUGUCAUGGCAAUUUGAGUUAUGUUGGUGUCAGACGUCACGCAAGGUGAGCCGUAGUUAGGAUUUCUAUUGCUGCAAUACAAUACUAAAGUGACUAAAAGCAAGCUGAGGAAGAAAGGGCUUAUUUGGCCUACACUUCCAGGACACUGUUAGUCAUUGAAGGAAGUCAGGACAGUAACUCAAGCAGGGCACUCCACUACCUGGCGGCAAAAGCUGAUGCAGAGGGCAUGAAGGGGUGCUGCUUACUGGCUUGCUCCUCAUGGCUUGCUCAACCUGCUUUCUUACAGAUGCCAGGACCACCAGCCCAGGGAUUGCAUGACCCACCAUGGGCUGGGUGCUCCCCCAUCAAUCGCUAGUUAAGAAAACGCUCUACAGCUGGAUCUUAUUUAGGCAGUUUCUAAAUUGAGGUUCCCUCCUGUCAGGUAAUUCUAGCGUGUGUCAAGUUGACAUAAGACCAGCAAGUACAAGUUGCUUGUGCCUUCAGAGUUGAUCCUCUCAGACGUUUUCAAGGAGAACUGUUACAGGUGGUUAUACACUUUCCAAUAUCUUAUAACGGCUUAGUUUUUUG
rnacentral:lncRNA from 1 species